rnacentral:rRNA from 1 species
GAUCCUGGCUCAGAUUGAACGCUGGCGGCAUGCUUUACACAUGCAAGUCGAACGGUAACAGGUUAAGCUGACGAGUGGCGAACGGGUGAGUAAUGCAUCGGAACGUGCCCAGUCGUGGGGGAUAACGCAGCGAAAGCUGUGCUAAUACCGCAUACGAUCUAUGGAUGAAAGCGGGGGACCGUAAGGCCUCGCGCGAUUGGAGCGGCCGAUAUCAGAUUAGGUAGUUGGUGGGGUAAAGGCUCACCAAGCCAACGAUCUGUAGCUGGUCUGAGAGGACGACCAGCCACACUGGAACUGAGACACAGUCCAGACUCCUACGGGAGGCAGCAGUGGGGAAUUUUGGACAAUGGACGCAAGUCUGAUCCAGCCAUUCCGCGUGCAGGAUGAAGGCCCUCGGGUUGUAAACUGCUUUUGUACGGAACGAAAAGGUCUCUCUUAAUACGGGGGGCUCAUGACGGUACCGUAAGAAUAAGCACCGGCUAACUACGUG